AUCGCUUCUCGGCCUUUUGGCUAAGAUCAAGUGUAGUAUCUGUUCUUAUCAGUUUAAAAAUUAGCACAGUAGAAGAUUCUCCCAUUAAUUUUUCCAUAAAAAGUACUAGAAAUAAAAGAUGGUCAGGUGUUGCUGGAAAUUUGUACAUGCAUAAGCACACACAUAAAAUGCACACAAGUGCACCAAUU